rnacentral:tRNA from 1 species
AGCUCAGUGGUCAGAGCAGGCGACUCAUAAUCGCUGGGUCGUGGGUUCGAUCCCCACC